rnacentral:rRNA from 1 species
ACGGGUGAGUAACACGUAAAGAACCUGCCUCAUAGACGGGGACAACUAUUGGAAACGAUAGCUAAUACCGGAUAACAGCAUAAACCGCAUGGUUGAUGUUUAAAAGUUGGUUUUGCUUAACCUUAUGAAAGGGUUUUGCGGGGCUUUACUUAGUGGGGGGGGUAAGGGCCUACCAGGGCGACAAUGCUAACCCGACCUGAAGGAUGAUCCGGCCCCCUGGGACUGGAAACCCGGCCCAAAUCCCUACGGGAGGCACCAUGGGGAAUUCUUCCCCAUGGGGCGCAAGCCCUGAUCCAACCAUGCCCGCGGGAUGGAAAAAGGAUUUCGGGUUCGUAAGGACUUGUUGUUAGGGAAGAAAUGAUUGGGGUUAACUAUAUUGUCUGAUGACGGUACCUGACCAAUAAAGCCACGGCUAACUACGUGCCAGCAGCCGCGGUAAUACGUAGGUGGCGAGCGUUGUCCGGAAUUAUUGGGCGUAAAGCGAGCGCAGACGGGUUACUUAAGUCUGAUGUGAAAUCCCCACGGCUCAACCUGUGGAGCUGCAUUGUGAACUGUUUGACUUGAGUGUGUGAGAGAGAAGUGGAAUUCCUAGUGUAGCAGUGAAAUGCGUAGAGAUGUAGGAGGAAUACCGAUGGCGAAAGCAGCCUUCUUGGGCCUGACACUGACACUCAUGCUCGAAAGCGUGGGGAGCAAACAGGAUUAGAU